CCUGGUUGGUCCUGCCAGUAGUCAUAUGCUUGUCUCAAAGAUUAAGCCAUGCAUGUCUAAGUAUGAACUAAUUCAGACUGUGAAAUUGUUGAUGGCUCAUUAAAUCAGUUAUAGUUUUUUUUAUGGUACCAUACUACUCGGAUAACCGUAGUAAUUCUAGAGCUAAUACCUAUACUACUCGGAUGACCGUAAUAAUUCUAGAGCUAAUACGUGCACCAAGUCCCAACUAUUUGGAAGGGAUGCAUUUUUUAGAUAAAAGGUCAGCGCGGGCUUGCCCGCUUCUCUAGUGAAUCAUGAUAACUCGAUGGAUCGCAUAGCCCUUGUGUUGGCGAUGCUUCAUUCAAAUUUAUUCCCUAUCAACUUUCGACGGUAGGAUAGAGGCCUACCAUGGUGGUGAUGGGUGACGGAUAAUUAGGGUUCGAUUCCGGAGAGGGAGCCUGAGAAAUGGCUACCACAUCCAAGGAAGGCAGCAGGCACGCAAAUUACCCAAUCCUAACAUGGGGAGGUAGUGACAAUAAAUAAAAGUAAUGGACUCAUCGAGUCUGGUAAUUGGAAUGAGUACAAUCUAAAUUCCUUAACGAGGAUCCAUUGAAGGGCAAGUCUGGUGCCAGCAGCCACGGUAAUUCUAGCUCCAAUAGCGUAUAUUUAAGUUGUUGCAGUUAAAAAGCUCAUAGUUGGAUCUUGGGUCAUAACGGUUGGUUUUCCUACUCGGUGUGUACCUUCCCUUCCGUCCCUUUUAUCAGCGGCGUGUUCCUGGCCUUAAUUGGCUGGGUCACAGGUCUGACGCUGUUACUUUGAAAAAAUUAGAGUGCUCAAAGCAAGCUUAUGCUUUGAAUACAUUAGCAUGGAAUAACGUGAUAGGAGUCUGGUCCUAUUGUGUUGGCCUUCAGGACCAGAGUAAUGAUUAAUAGGGACUGUCGGGGGCAUUCAUAUUUCAUUGUCAAAGGUGAAAUUCUUAGAUUUAUGAAAGAGAGACCACUGCGAGAGCAUUUUCCAAGGAUGUUUUCAUUAAUCAAGGAUGAAAGUUGGGGGCUCAAAGACGAUCAAAUACCAUCCUAGUCUCAACCUUAAACAAUGCUGACCAGGGAUCGGUGGAUGUUGCUCUAAGGACUCUGCCAGCACCUUCUGAGAAAUCAGAGUGUUUGGGUUCCGAGGGGAGUAUGGUCGCAAGGCUGAAACUUAAAGGAAUUGACGGGAGGGCACCACCAGGAGUGGAGCCUGCGGCUUAAUUUGACUCAACACAGGGAAACUUACAAGGUCCAGACAUAGUAAGGAUUGAUAGAUUGAGAUCUCUUUCUUAAUUCUAUGGGUGGUGGUGCAUGUCUGUUAUUAGUUGGUGGAGCGAUUUGUUUGGUUAAUUCCGAUAAUGAACGAGACCUCAGCCUGCUAACUAGCUAUGCAGAGGUUCCCCUUCGCGGCCAGCUUCUUAGAGGGACUAUGGCUAUUUAGGCCAUGGAAGUUCGAGGAAAUAAUAGGUUUGUGAUGCCCUUAGAUGUUCUGGGCCACAUGCUCGCUACACUGAUGCAGCCAACGAGGUUUUCUUCCUGGUUCGAGAGGAUCGGGAAAUAUUCUGAAAUUGCAUUGUGAUGGGGAUAUACCAUUGCAAUUAUUAGUCUUCAAUGAGGAAUUCCUAGUAAGCACAUGUCAUCAAAUCGUGUUGACUAUGUCCCUGCCCUUUGUACACACCGCCUGUCGCUCCUACCGAUUGAAUGAUCGGGUGAAUUGUUCAGAUUGCGUCGAUGAUGGUGGUUCGCUGCCGUCGACGUCGUGAGAAGUUCACUGAACCUUAUCAUUUAGAGGAAGGAGAAGUCGUAACAAGGUUACCAUAGGUGAACCUGCAGUAG
rnacentral:rRNA from 1 species